GAGUUUGAUCCUGGCUCAGGAUGAACGCUGGCGGCGUGCCUAACACAUGCAAGUCGAACGGAGCCUUAUCAGCAGAAGCAGCCAGCUUGCUGGAAGCGGAAGAGGGAAAGGCUUAGUGGCGGACGGGUGAGUAACGCGUGGGUAACCUGGCCCAUACAGGGGGAUAACACUUAGAAAUAGGUGCUAAUACCGCAUAACAACAGAAAGCGCAUGCUUUUUGUUUGAAAACCAAGGUGGUAUGGGAUGGACCCGCGUCUGAUUAGCUGGUUGGCGGGGUAAAGGCCCACCAAGGCGACGAUCAGUAGCCGGCCUGAGAGGGUGGACGGCCACAUUGGGACUGAGACACGGCCCAAACUCCUACGGGAGGCAGCAGUGGGGAAUAUUGCACAAUGGGGGAAACCCUGAUGCAGCGACGCCGCGUGAGUGAAGAAGUAAUUCGUUAUGUAAAGCUCUAUCAGCAGGGAAGAAAAUGACGGUACCUGAGUAAGAAGCCCCGGCUAACUACGUGCCAGCAGCCGCGGUAAUACGUAGGGGGCAAGCGUUAUCCGGAUUUACUGGGUGUAAAGGGAGCGUAGACGGCAGUGCAAGUCUGGAGUGAAAGGCGGGGGCUCAACCCCCGGACUGCUCUGGAAACUGUACGGCUGGAGUG
rnacentral:rRNA from 1 species